rfam:Methylophaga sp. 41_12_T18 BD02T18_scaffold_1481, whole genome shotgun sequence.
GAUUGCUUGUCGGGGUGCCAUUAGUUUGGCUGAGAUGAAACCCGUUGAACCUGAAGGGGCUAAUACCUCCGUAGGAAACAAGUGAGAGUACUAU